GGGAAAGAUGACAAUACUUUUUAGAAAUAGGAAAAAUGAUUCAUAAAGAGAGUACAUUACUCUGUUUUCUUUGACAGCAAGAAUCAUUUUUAUUCAUUGCUGUACUCCCUGACACAAGCACAGUGUUUAUGAACAAGUUAGUGACUGCAUUAGACGGCAUUAGGCAUGCUUCUGUGACAGGCAUCUCCAACUCUUCUGAAAGGCUCUGAGGAAGAAGAAACUGAAGGUUAGAGAAAUUGAAGAGCUUCUUCAACAUUAAAUGGAGAGCCAAGAAAUUGUUAAGAUAUCAGUUAACGAAGACCUUCCCUUCUUCCAUCUGUCAUUUAUAUAACAAAUAAAACCAUUGAUUUAGUUUUGGGGUCUUUUGGAUGGACUCACUGAAAAGAAGCAUUGAUUACCACACCCAAUGAUCCCAUUAAUCUCAAAAAUGCCAGAG